UACGUAGGGGGCAAGCGUUUGUCCGGAAUUAUUGGGCGUAAAGCGCGCGCAGGCGGCUUUGUAAGUCUGGUGUUUAAACCUAGGGCUCAACCCUGGGUCGCAUUGGAAACUGCAAGGCUUGAGUGCAGAAGAGGAGAGUGGAAUUCCACGUGUAGCGGUGAAAUGCGUAGAGAUGUGGAGGAACACCAGUGGCGAAGGCGGCGUCCUGGACUGGUACUGACGCUCAGGAGCGAAAGCGUGGGGAGCGAUCCGG
rnacentral:rRNA from 1 species